GGUACCCGGGCGAAUUCCAAGCUUGAGUUUGAUCCUGGCUCAGGAUGAACGCUGGCGGCGUGCCUAAUACAUGCAAGUCGAGCGAGGCCCUUCGGGGCCUAGCGGCGGACGGGUGAGUAACACGUGGGUAACCUGCCUGUAAGACUGGGAUAACUUCGGGAAACCGAAGCUAAUACCGGAUAGUUUCGAGCAUCGCAUGAUGCUUGAUGGAAAGACGGUUUCGGCUGUCACUUACAGAUGGACCCGCGUCGCAUUAGCUAGUUGGUGAGGUAAUGGCUCACCAAGGCGACGAUGCGUAGCCGACCUGAGAGGGUGAUCGGCCACACUGGGACUGAGACACGGCCCAGACUCCUACGGGAGGCAGCAGUAGGGAAUCUUCGGCAAUGGGCGAAAGCCUGACCGAGCAACGCCGCGUGAGCGAUGAAGGCCUUCGGGUCGUAAAGCUCUGUUGUUAAGGAAGAACAAGUACGAGAGUAACUGCUCGUACCUUGACGGUACUUAACGAGAAAGCCACGGCUAACUACGUGCCAGCAGCCGCGGUAAUACGUAGGUGGCGAGCGUUAUCCGGAAUUAUUGGGCGUAAAGCGCGCGCAGGCGGUUUCUUAAGUCUGAUGUGAAAGCCCACGGCUCAACCGUGGAGGGUCAUUGGAAACUGGGAAACUUGAGUGCAGAAGAGGAAAGCGGAAUUCCACGUGUAGCGGUGAAAUGCGUAGAGAUGUGGAGGAACACCAGUGGCGAAGGCGGCUUUCUGGUCUGUAACU
rnacentral:rRNA from 1 species